UUGCGGGGGGAUCACAUCAUGUGUUCACAUGCGACAUGGUGGGACUCCCCUGUAACC
rnacentral:pre_miRNA from 1 species